GUCUACAGCUAUACCACCCUGAACAGGCCCGAUCUCAUCUGAUCUCGGAAGCUAAACAGAUUGGGGCUUGUUUAGAACUUGGAUGGGACACAAUGUAUGCUUAUGAUCGAUACAGCUGAUGCCU
ensembl:rRNA 5S_rRNA 5S ribosomal RNA